rnacentral:rRNA from 1 species
UAGGGAAUCUUCGGCAAUGGGGGGAACCCUGACCGAGCAACGCCGCGUGAGUGAAGAAGGUUUUCGGAUCGUAAAGCUCUGUUGUUAAGGAAGAACGAGUGUGAGAAUGGAAAGUUCAUACUGUGACGGUACUUAACCAGAAAGGGACGGCUAACUACGUGCCAGCAGCCGCGGUAAUACGUAGGUCCCGAGCGUUGUCCGGAUUUAUUGGGCGUAAAGCGAGCGCAGGCGGUUAGAAAAGUCUGAAGUGAAAGGCAGUGGCUCAACCAUUGUAGGCUUUGGAAACUGUUUAACUUGAGUGCAGAAGGGGAGAGUGGAAUUCCAUGUGUAGCGGUGAAAUGCGUAGAUAUAUGGGGGAACACCGGUGGCGAAAGCGGCUCUCUGGUCUGUAACUGACGCUGAGGCUCGAAAGCGUGGGUAGCAAACAGG